rnacentral:rRNA from 1 species
AGUGAACGCUGGCGGCGUAGCUAAGGCAUGCAAGUCGAACGGACUUAGACAAGGGUAACCGAGUCUAGGUUAGUGGCGAACGGGAGCGUAAUACAUAGGUAACGUACCCUGGGCAUGGGGAUAGCGGCGGGUGGAAACACCCUUUGCGAAAGUGCCGUUAAUACCCAAUGAUGUCGGAUGGUCGCAUGGCCGACCGACCAAAGGUGGCGCAAGCUACCAGCCUGGGAGCGGCUUAUGUCCUAUCAGGUAGUUGGUGAGGUAACGGCUCACCAAGCCUGCGACGGGUAGCGGGGCUGAGAGGUUGACCCGCCUCAUCGGAACUGAGACACUGUCCGGACACCUACGGGUGGCUGCAGCAACGAAUAUUGGGCAAUGGGCGAAAGCCUGACCCAGCGACGCCGCGUGCGGGAUGAAGCCCUUCGGGGUGUAAACCGCUGUCAGGGUUAAUCAAGCGACCGGUGUGAAUAAUGCCGGAAGUUGAGAUAUCCCAGAGGAAGCCACGGCUAACUCCGUGCCAGCAGCCGCGGUAAGACGGAGGUGGCGAGCGUUACUCGGAUUCACUGGGCUUAGAGCGGGUGCAGGCGGUCCUGCAAGUCCGGAGUGAAAUCCCUCGGCUCAACCGAGGAAUUGCUUCGGAUACUGCGGGACUUGAGGCAGGUAGGGGCAAGUGGAACGUUUGGUGUAGCGGUGAAAUGCGUAGAUAUCAAACGGAACGCCGGUGGUGAAGACGGCUUGCUGGACCUGUCCUGACGCUCAGACCCGAAAGCGUGGGGAGUGAACCGGAUUAGAUACCCGGGUAAUCCACGCCCUAAACGAUGCGCACUAGAUUCGGGAGCCUCUGACGGCGUCCGGGUCGAUGUGAAAACGUUAAGUGCGCCGCCUGGGGAGUACGGCCGCAAGGUUAAAACUCAAAGGAAUUGACGGGGGCUCACACAAGCGGUGGAGCAUGUGGAUUAAUUCGAAGCAACGCGAAGAACCUUACCUGGGUUUGACAUGUACGGAUGGGGUCCGUGAAAGCGGGUGCCUCUGCUCUUCGGAGUGAAACGUGCACAGGUGCUGCAUGGCUGUCGUCAGCUCGUGCGGUGACGUGUUGGGUUAAGUCCUAUAACGAGCGAAACCCCUGUCGUUAGUUGCCAGCGCGUAAAGGCGGGCACUCUAACGGGACUGCCGGCGUCAAGCCGGAGGAAGGCGGGGACGACGUCAAGUCAUCAUGGCCUUUAUGUCCAGGGCGUCACACGUGCUACAAUGGCUACUACAAAGCGAUGCCAAGCCGCAAGGCGGAGCAAAUCGAUGAAAGGUAGCCUCAGUUCGGAUUGUGGUCUGCAACCCGACCACAUGAAGCCGGAAUCGCUAGUAAUCGCGUAUCAGCCAUGACGCGGUGAAUGUGUUCCUGAGCCUUGUACACACCGCCCGUCAAGUCAUGGGAGCCGGGAGCACCCGAAGCUCGCUUAGUCAACCGCAAGGAGACGGCGAACUACGGUGAGUCUGGUGACUGGGACU